AAAGACAAAUUUAAUGAAUUGAGAUGUUUAUAAUUGAGUUUAAUUUUUAUAUGAUUUAUUUAAUUUAGUGAGCGUAGGGAGUGAGUUAUUUUAAUUAAUAAACGAAAAUAAUAGGAUAUUUUGAUGAUCUUAACCCAUUAAAGAUUAUAUUUGUAGGAAUAUAAUGAUUAUUUGAUUAUUUUUCUCCAAUAAAAUUUCCACUUUCCUUUUUUUUUUUUUUCAUAAAACCCUAGUCUAAACCCCUUCUCUUCAUAAAAUUGUUGAAGUUGUGGAGCUAUGGAGAUUGAUAGAAAAGAUGGGAGAACAGCUAAUCAAUUGAGACCAUUGAGUUGCGCUCGUAAUGUUCUUAAUCGCGCUCAUGGCUCUGCAAGUUGGUCUCAAGGGGAGACGAAAGUUCUUGCUGCUGUUUAUGGACCAAAGGCUGGAACAAACAAGAACGAGAAUCCAGAGAAGGCAUGUUUUGAAGUCAUUUGGAAGCCAAAAACUGGGCAGAUUGGUAAAGCGGAGAAGGAGUAUGAGAUGAUUUUGAAGAAGACCGUGCAAAGCAUUUGUGUUUUGAAUGUUCAUCCAAAUACCACCACGUCAAUUAUCAUUCAGGUUGUCAACGAUGAUGGAGCUCUUCUUCCAUGUGCCAUAAAUGCAUUAUGUGCUGCCCUUGUGGAUGCUGGCAUUCCUUUGAAGCACCUUGCUGUUGCAAUAUGUUGUUGUCUAACAGAGAGUGGACAUAUUCUACUGGACCCUAGCAAGCUAGAAGAACAGAGAAUGAAGGCAUUUGUAUAUCUAGUUUUCCCAAACUCGACAUUAUCUGUGCUUCCUGAAGAAGCAUUGAAAGUGAGAGGUGAACCCAUGGAACACGGGCUUAUAACAUCUUCUACGCAUGGUGUAAUGUCGGUUGACGACUACAUACGCUGUUUGGAGAGGGGACGUGCUGCCACUUCCAAGUUGUCUGAUUUUUUCAGGAGAAACUUGCAAUAACAAGUCGAAAGUGACUAAUCCAAGUUGAGUUCAAUUGACUUGGAUCAGCAAAAAUGAGAUCUCUCACUGACUUUCCUAGUGCAUUGACUUGUUCGUGUUGGAUCUUUGCUGGCAUAAAUUGAACGUGGAUGUGUCAUGAUCGUUGUAAAUUUUGAUGUCAUCUCGAUGGCUUUGGCUACCAAUCAAAUAGUUGAGAUGUGGUUUUCCAUGGAAUGUCAGUGUAGCAUAUUCCCCUUUCAAUUUGCAGGAGAGACACCCGACGAAAAUCUAGAUUCAAUUUCGAGUAGGAGCACAUCUCGAGGAGCAGUUUGAGUCCGAGUUUGGAGUGUCUUGGAGUUGUGGUGAGCUGCUUGGCUGAUGGCAAGGACUCAUACACCGACAAGUGCUGGUCGGGAUCCUAUUUUUGCGCCUGCUUUUGGGAACACUAUUCGAGGUAGAGGCAGGGGACGAACUCGAGGUCGGGCUAAGGGCCGUAUUGCAGCACUUGUGGAAGGUCAAGUAUCAAUAGCUACCAAGGGUUGUAAUAGGACCAUACCUCCUGAUACAGAGGUUGUUCAUGGGGAUGUGCAAGAUCGUGUCAAGGGGGAUGGGCCAGCUCAGGCUCCACCCAGUACCAUUGCCACCCUAGUGCUUCAAGAUACCUUGGCUCGUAUGUUAGGACUUUUAGAGGGGAUGACUCAGGCAUGAACUUUUCCUAUCACUUCUGAUGGCUCACAGACUCGUGUUGGAGGUCAGACUCCAGAACCGUUAGUUGCUCCAGAUUUUCAGACUUCUAGGACUCAGCCAGCUGUUGUUGUAGCUCCUCGUUUGGAUAGUAUGGAGUUUCCAGAUAUCGCAUCACAUUUGGUGAACAUGUUUUCUAUGACCAUUGAUGAGCAAAAGAUGUUUGAGAAAUUCAGGCUAAUGAAUCCUCCUACUUAUACUGGUGACUUAACUGAGGAUGCAAAUGAAUUUAUAGUUAGUUGUCAUGAGAGGUUGCAUAAUCUUGGAUUAGUGGAGUCUCAUGGAGUUGACUACAUAACGUUUCAGAUGACUGGCUCUGCCAAGCAGUAGUGGAUGGAUUAUAUUAGUCAAUGGCAAGUUGGAUCCCCUCCACUAUCCUGGACUCAGUUUACUCAGAUAUUUUUAGCCAAAUUUGUCCCACGCAGUGAGAGGGAGUGCAAGAGGGCCGAGUUUGAGGGUUUGCAGCAAGGUGGUAUGUCAGUCGCAGAGUAUGAGAGUAAAUUUCAUGCCUUAGCUAGGCAUGCUUCGAUAAUACUUCCCACAGAGGCUGAGAGAGUGAGAAGGUUUGUUAAGGGGCUGAUUAUUCCGAUUCGCCUAGGAGUUUUUCAGGUUGCUGCUUCUGGUGUUCUGUUCCACAAAGUGGUAAGAGUUGGAGAUGAUUCAACAUGAGGGAUUUGAGCAGUGUGAGGGCAAGAGGACCCGUUAUUCAGAUGAUUAUGGUGGUGCUCCGCCUAGGAGUCGAGGUUAUGUAGGGAAAGGUUAUCACUCUCAGUAUAGCAGACCCAUUCAUGCUGCUAUACCUGCGUCUGAGGCUGGUUACCCUGGGAAUAGUUCUAAGAGCUCGAUGCAUACUUCACAGGGUUCAUUUUCUAGACCUAUAGUUCGUGGAGAGCAUUCUGGUCAUUCAGAUUCCUCUCAUCAGCCUGCAUCUCGUAGGGACUGUUUUGAGUUGUAUACAUUUUCUAAAAAAAGAGGGAUUGAUACUUCAUAUAGUAUUACCAAUUAGUUAAUCUUUGUGAAAUGAAAUAUAUAGGAUGAAUUAAUUAAAGCAGAAUAUCACAUGUUCCCAAAGAACACAUUUUGUUCAGGAACUUCCUUUGUUCCAAAACUUUGAAGGCAUCGAUGAAGACGACGGUUGGAUCAUCACAUUUACACAUAAAGAAAAUGAGAAUAUUUCUCAGGUUUGUAUAACUGAUGCAAAGAAA